rnacentral:rRNA from 1 species
GAUGAACGCUGGCGGCGUGCCUAAUACAUGCAAGUCGAGCGAACGGACGAGAAGCUUGCUUCUCUGAUGUUAGCGGCGGACGGGUGAGUAACACGUGGAUAACCUACCUAUAAGACUGGGAUAACUUCGGGAAACCGGAGCUAAUACCGGAUAAUAUUUUGAACCGCAUGAUUCAAAAGUGAAAGGCGGUCUUGCUGUCACUUAUAGAUGGAUCCGCGCUGCAUUAGCUAGUUGGUAAGGUAACGGCUUACCAAGGCAACGAUGCAUAGCCGACCUGAGAGGGUGAUCGGCCACACUGGAACUGAGACACGGUCCAGACUCCUACGGGAGGCAGCAGUAGGGAAUCUUCCGCAAUGGGCGAAAGCCUGACGGGGCAACGCCGCGUGAGUGAUGAAGGUCUUCGGAUCGUAAAACUCUGUUAUUAGGGAAGAACAUAUGUGUAAGUAACUGUGCACAUCUUGACGGUACCUAAUCAGAAAGCCACGGCUAACUACGUG